rnacentral:rRNA from 1 species
CCUACGGGAGGCAGCAGUGGGGAAUAUUGCACAAUGGGGGAAACCCUGAUGCAGCGACGCCGCGUGAGUGAAGAAGUAUUUCGGGAUGUAAAGCUCUAUCAGCAGGGAAGAAUAAAGACGGUACCUGACGAAGAAGCCCCGGCUAACUACGUGCCAGCAGCCGCGGUAAUACGUAGGGGGCAAGCGUUAUCCGGAUUUACUGGGUGUAAAGGGAGCGUAGACGGCUGUGCAAGUCGGAAGUGAAAGCCCAGGGCUCAACCCUGGGACUGCUUUGGAAACUGUGGAGCUAGAGUGCUGGAGAGGUAAGUGGAAUUCCUAGUGUAGCGGUGAAAUGCGUAGAUAUUAGGAGGAACACCAGGGGCGAAGGCGGCUUACUGGACAGUAACUGACGUUGAGGCUCGAAAGCGUGGGGAGCAAACAGGAUUAGAUACCCUAGUAGUC